rnacentral:pre_miRNA from 1 species
GUUGUAAUUGCUAGAUCAUGUGGUAAGAGUUUAGUUUUGUAAGACAUCACCAACUGUCUUCCAAAAUGGCUAUACUAUUUUGCAUUCCCACUAGCAAC